GAUGAACGCUGGCGGCGUGCUUAACACAUGCAAGUCGAACGAAGCAUUUGCGACAGAUUUUUUCGGAAUGAAGUUGCUUAUGACUGAGUGGCGGACGGGUGAGUAACGCGUGGGUAACCUGCCUUGUACUGGGGGAUAGCAGCUGGAACGGCUGGUAAUACCGCAUAAGCGCACAAUGUUGCAUGACAUGGUGUGAAAAACUCCGGUGGUAUAAGAUGGACCCGCGUCUGAUUAGCUAGUUGGUGAGAUAACAGCCCACCAAGGCGACGAUCAGUAGCCGACCUGAGAGGGUGACCGGCCACAUUGGGACUGAGACACGGCCCAGACUCCUACGGGAGGCAGCAGUGGGGAAUAUUGCACAAUGGAGGAAACUCUGAUGCAGCGACGCCGCGUGAGUGAAGAAGUAAUUCGUUAUGUAAAGCUCUAUCAGCAGGGAAGAUAGUGACGGUACCUGACUAAGAAGCUCCGGCUAAAUACGUG
rnacentral:rRNA from 1 species